rfam:Soboliphyme baturini genome assembly, scaffold: SBAD_scaffold0010776
CUAACGGUUCUUCUCAGAACCAAACAUGUAAACCAGUACGAAAUA